ensembl:snRNA U6 U6 spliceosomal RNA
GCGCUUAUUUCAGCAGCACAUAUACUAAAAUUAGAAUGAUACAGAAAAGAUUAGCAUGGUCCCUGCACAGGGAUGACGUGCACAUUUUUGAAAAAAUUAU